ACUCCUGACCUUAGGUGAUCCGCCUGCCUCGGCCUCCCAAAGUGCUGGGAUUACAGGCUUGAGCCACUGAGCCUGGCCUAACAUACAUAUGAACAGGUUCUGACAAAAGAACAGUUCCUUCCUUGAUGUGGAUCAUGAAGUAGCAAUUAUUCUGUCUGUAUUCCCAAUGCAAACUAAGGAUAUGCAAAUAGAUGACCAUUUCUGGGUUAUCUCAAUGUCAUCAACUUGGUUAUUACAGUUGCUGCCUUGGCAUCCAUGGUCAGGCCUAACAAUGGCCUGACAUAAACUGUUUGAAAUCCGGUUGUACCCUGUCACCUUUGGCCUGGUUAAAACUUCCUCUUCCCAUGUUACUGUUUGCAAUAUAGCCCACUUGUUCCUCAUCCCACUGACCCCAGACCCAACACACCCCACAGCUGCUGACCGUGAUAAAACCCAAUGGCCAACACCAGAGUCGUGUAGGUAAGUUCCCCCUUCCCACACGUGUUUUCCUUACACUAGCAAUUUCACAACCUCCUGUGAAAAGCCUAAGUGAGAAAACUCCUGGAGCCGCUAGACCCUGAGAAAGGCGUGCUCCUACUGGUCAGCUGUCUCUUUCUGGGGUCAUGCAUUUUGGUUUCCUGUUAUCCUUGUGUCUCACUGGACUGGCACACCUGAACCUUACUAGGUAAGACAUAAGGAAAAUGGGAAAUUGAAAUGCAAGGUCCUGGGGGACUAGGAGUGUUAUCACUACAACAUGCUCUCCUAGAGAGUGGCUGUCUUGGCAGGAAUAAACUGGACACAGAUCAGACAAGAACCACAAAGCGUCUCUGCCAGAUUUCCUGUGAGAGAGACAGCUGGCUAUGGUUCAGACCCAGGCAUCAGGCUGUCAAUCAGGAUAAAGAAGCAUCAUGUGAAAGACACACUGUCAACACCUGUGAAUACCUCCUCUGGGCCUAGCAGGGCCGAGCUUUAUUGCCACUCUCCAGAGGCCUGAAGACCAAAUUAGAGGAAGAUCUCAACCGUCCCGUUAUUCCUCUAAAGAAACGCUAGAGAACAAAGGUAAUAACCAUCAGAAACACACUUGUUGGUAUGGUUUGGCUUUGUGUCCCCACCUAAAUCUCAUCUCGGAUUGUAAUCCCCACGUGUCAGGGAAUGAACCUGGUGGAGGGAGACGACUGGAUCAUGGGGGCGGUUUUCUCCAUGCUGCUCUUGUGACAGCGAGGGAGUUCUCACGAGGUCUGAUGGUUUACAAGUGCAAGUUUCCCCUUCUCUGCCUCUUUCUCUCUCCUGCUGCUGCCUUGUAAGAAGUGCCCUGCUUCCCCUUUCCCCUUCACCUCCUGCCGUGAGUGUGAGUUUCCUGAGGCAUUUCCAGCCACGCGGAACUGUGAGUCAAUGAAACCUCUUUCCAUUAUAAAUUACUCAGUCUCAGGUAUUUAUAGCUGUGUGUUAGUAACUGCAAGCAUUGGAACCCCUGUGUAUUUGCUGUGACCCACUGAUUCUCAAACUGUGCUACAAUAAUAGCACUGCUGGGAAUUACCCAGAAUCCCCUUCAGAAGGUAUAAUGCACUCAGCUUGGGAUGAUGCCUGGGUAUAUUUAUUUAAAAAUUUUCAGUUGGUUACAUGCAGUUGGAGUUGCAAACCAUUUAUCCAGAAAUAAAAGAAUAUCUAUUGACUAAGAGAGUGCUCUGGAAAUGUGAUCUCGGGAAUAACAGCAUCAGCAUCACCUGGGAAGUUAUUAGAAAUGCAAAUUACUGGGUCCCACCCCAGAUCUAUUGAAUUAGAAACUCUGGGCGUGGAGCCCAGCAAUCUGGAUUUAACAAGCCUGCUAGGUGAUUGUAAUGCCCAGAUUUGAGAACUUUUAAACUAUCACUAGGGAGAGUUCCUGAAUUCUUCCACUUUUUGUGAUGGAAUAAAAAUACCCUUUGGGGUCAGGAGUUUCAGGUUCAAGCCUGAAAUCUUCCUCACAAUUAAAAGUGUGAUCGAGGACAAAUUAUUUUGCUAAUCUUCAAUUACAUCUUCAAUUACUUGUAUAUUAGAAAGUCAGAUAAUCCCAGUUUUAAUGAAGUUGUUGCAAAGGUAAAAAAGAUGUCAGUUCCUCUCUUUUCCUCAUUAAGAGGAUUAUGAAAUCUGUGCUUUGACAGGAAUGAUAAGCAUAUCUAUGUGUUCACCCUGAAUCCCAGCUAAGAAUACUAAAUAAUCUGUCAAUAUAAUAUUUUUUAUCAGUGGCUUACAUGUUUGUCCCAAAGUGUGGGACAAAUAUCACUUGUGAUCUAUGUGGCACUGGUGCUCAAUAACAUUAAAUCACAUGAUAGAAUGUUAUUCUCCUUUCAAAAAUUUCCAAAAAUUGUUAAAAUACAUUUAAAAAAACAUGUUGGUUUAAAAUGCCUGAAACACUUCUCUAAACUUCUAAUAUCCCCUUUAAAAUAAAGCUUUUGACAAGCAAAUAUAUUUUUCUAGACCUUAAUACAUUUGUUUACCUUCUUUUGAAGACAAGUAACACUAGGUUUUCAUAUGUGAUAAUAAAAAUGUUUUUAAAGCAACUUUAAGUUUAAAAAUAAGUUUACUGAAAUAACUACUUAAAACACACUGUGAAGUUGUGACCAGUGUUAAAGUCACUAUUUUCCAUACUUCAAGGUGUACAGCAGAAAUCCCAGCCUUAAAUAAUUCCUAAUGAGGGAGAGAGGAGGACUGGUAUAUGGAAACUCUGAAAACAGAGAUCAGAGUCAACAUUCUUAUGGCGUAAGUGUGAAUAAUUUAUACGAUGCCGAGAUACAAGGGUUAAGGUAUGAACAAUUUAGCAGAGGUUCUUGUGAAACAGAUCUUGAAGGUUUAGAUGACAUUGCACAAGAAUGUUUAAUAACUCUUUAAAACCAGUUUUUAUACCUUAAACACAUUGAUUAGAACUCUAGUAUGCAGAACAAGGAGGACAUGAUAGUGCCAGCUUGUCCCCGCUCAGGGCAUUUUGUAAAACUGAAAAUCUCAGUUUGAGUUGAAUAUUAAAAAAAUAAAGCCCAUUCAGAUGGAGGAAGGGGUUCCUAUGAUGAAGGUUUUGAAGUGUAGAUUACAAGAGCUAAGGCUGAAGGGUUUAAGAAUAUUUAUUCAGACAAAGCGAUACCCAAGUACUAAAUAUCAUCUUUGUACUUCUGAGCAUGUAUCAUGGGAUAAAGGAACCAGAGAGACCAAAGAGUUGCUAAUAGACACCGCUAUCCAGCACUAGAAUCAGCCAUGUUGAACAGGGCAAGCUCCAUGACCAGAAAUGGUCUACCAGGGAAAGCAGCAGGUAUCGAGUGUGUAGGCACCAAGGUGGAUGAUGGUUGGGAUGUUCAGGAGCUGGACAGAAGUUUGUAUUACAGGCUCGUAGCACCGGAGGUUUCUGAUGGAGCAGACAACUUGAGGACGGCCGGCCUUGCUGAACACACUGGACAGAUCGGGUCUGGACCCCUCCCCCACAGGUGACGGUGCACUGCAGGAAAGAGAAGAGGAAGAAGACAAACACUCUGCUGAGAUCCUCCUGAAGAGAUACGUACACAGUAUAUAUACCUCUGCCCGGCCCCUGUGAUGAAUGGUGAGGUGGGCAGCACCCGAGUCCUCUGAAGAGCUGUGUGACAACAUCUGUUGGUUGGAAUGCUGGAAGGACCACAACACAGCUUUGGGUUCCUGAAGACAUAAUGCCCUCUCAGACUUAGCAUCACACACCAGUCCUAGCCAAAGAUUCACCCAAGACUUCUGAAAGGAAGGGUGCCUCUAGCAUCUGACAUGGGACACACCAGGGUCUGUUAAUCAUGCAAAGGCAUUGCUAAGUCUGGGCAGGGAGACAAUUCCACAGCUGGCUUCCCCGAAUCCUCCUCUUGGCUGGAUUUAGUCUCGGAAACUGGAAAGCAAAUCAAACUUCUCUUCUUCCCAAGGAACUGUUCUCUCCCUGAUAUACCAGAAAGCUAUUGGAAAUGUUCUCAAGGAGCACUGGGUAUAUGAAAAACUUCAUAAUGUAUGACGAAGUGAAACAGAGCAGAGUGUACAGAGAUGUCUAUAACAUGACUUCAGCAAAGAGGAAUAGAAAACGAUACUCAUGUCAUCACUCUGAGUCUGUCAAACACGUUUGCUUACAUAUGCAUAGGGAAAAAAACAAAAUGAUACAGAUCAAAAUAUUAACAUUGUCUAUUGCAGAUUUAAAAAUUGGGGGGUUUUCUUCUUUAUAGUUCAUUGCCUUUAAAAUGUGUAUUAGUAGAAAAUGUGUUCCCUUUUAAUUAUUUUAUAUAUGUAUACUUAAAAAGUAUUUUUUUCAUCUUUUGUGAAGUGCAUGGGCAUCUAUAGAUAAGGCCUUUCGGAUGUAAGAAUUUCUUCAUUUUCUGUAUCUUUGCUCUGUCUCUCAUUCUAAGAAGACUUAUUACGCUCAGUGGAACGGAAGCAGUAGAAAGGCUCACUGUCACCAGGUGCUCUGAAUAACAGGAAACUAGAGACGCACAUUCAUGCUUUGGUUUCAGGAACUACUUUAUGGGCACGUAUUCUUCCUCCCAAAUGGACAAGUGUGACAAUUGUUUAACCCCCAAAUAUGUGACAUUGUUGACAUCUAAAUAAAAUGCCUUCCUUCUGCUCUCUGA